rnacentral:rRNA from 1 species
AUUGAACGCUGGCGGCAGGCCUAACACAUGCAAGUCGAGCGAGCGGCGGACGGGUGAGUAAUGUAUGGGGACUGCCCGAUAGAGGUGGAUAAACACUGGAAACGGUAGCUAAUACCGCAUACUAUCGGAUAACCCAUAUGGGAUUAGCUAGUUGGGGAGGUAAUGGCUCACCAAGGCGACGAUACCUAGCUGGGCUGAGAGGAUGAUCAGCCACACUGGGACUGAGACACGGCCCAGACUCCCACGGAGGCAGCAGUGGGGAAUAUUGCACAAUGGGCGCAAGCCUGAUACAGCCAUGCCGCGUGUAUGAAGAAGGCCCUCGGGUUGUAAAGUACUUUCAGUCGGGAGGCGUUACCGACAGAAGAAGCACCGGCUAACUCCGUGCCAGCAGCCGCGGCAAUAC